ensembl:lncRNA
UGACAUUUUAGGGAACUCUUUACUGUAGCUGUCAAAGUGGUAUCAUCCCAAGUCAAGAAACGCACCAGUGAAGAAUUACAGCUGUGGGGUGUAGGACAAGUGGAUCACUCAGACUAAACAGACAUGAAGGAAAUAAACGUCAGUCCGUCUGUCAUCUGCAGGUUGAAACGCACUGAAGGUAACCAAGAAUGGAAGAGAUUCAUGAGUGCACUUCAGAAGGGUGUUGGCCCCAUUAUCAAUGCAGCAUCAUCUUGGGUUCCAAGUGAGCGGUGUCUGGCACUCUGAAGCGAUCGCACACCACGUGACACUCUGGACGAGGUAGGAUGACAUGCUACGAUAUCUCCGGCUUUUAUUACCUCUUCUAAAGGAGGUAGAUUUCAGUUUGAUCCAUUGGGCUUGCAAGCUUUUGUCUGAAGGAUAUUUAAGGAAUAAAAGUGUGUAUAGACUGCA